rnacentral:rRNA from 1 species
AACGAACGCUGGCGGCAUGCCUAACACAUGCCAGUCGAACGAACCUUUCGGGGCUAGUGGCGGACGGGUGCGUAACACGUGGGAACGUGCCCUUAGGUUCGGAAUAACUCAGGGAAACUUGUGCUAAUACCGAAUGUGCCCUUCGGGGGAAAGAUUAAUCGCCUUUAGAGCGGCCCGCGUCUGAUUAGCUAGUUGGUUGAGGUAAUGGCUCACCAAGGCGACGAUCAGUAGCUGGUCUGAGAGGAUGAUCAGCCACAUUGGGACUGAGACACGGCCCAAACUCCUACGGGAGGCAGCAGUGGGGAAUCUUGCGCAAUGGGCGAAAGCCUGACGCAGCCAUGCCGCGUGAAUGAUGAAGGUCUUAGGAUUGUAAAAUUCUUUCACCGGGGACGAUAAUGACGGUACCCGGAGAAGAAGCCCCGGCUAACUUCGUG